rnacentral:lncRNA from 1 species
UCAACAUUAGCUCUAUAUGAGAUAUGGUCUCCAAAUAUCAAAAUUAUCAGCAUUAGCUCGCAGCUUAUUUGAGGUAUAAACUGCAAAAAGGGGGAUAAUGCUUACAAGCAACCAAAAAAAACUAGCUUAGCUCCUCUGUAAAAUUCUUCACUCCUUUAUUAGAACACUGGUCUCCAAUUCCUAGGAAAACACAGCAACCAAAAAAAACAUGUCAUCAUCCACCAACACAAAAAUUACAUGAGUCAUGAAAAGAUUCAAGUGAGAGCAGAAGUGAAUUUACCUCUAAACUUUCUGAAGCAGAUGGAAGAAGAACUUCAGCCAAUACUUCCACUUCUGGACCUACUUCGAAAUGGAUUACAUCCUUGCAGAUUGGGGAUUCGAGUUCGGCCUGGAUUUCUCGAAGAGGUCGGCGCCGUCGAUGAAAGCAAUCGGUGGAAGGUUAGCUUGUCGAAAAAGCAAUCUAAGGCUUGGGGGGAAGAGGAGCUCGAGCCUCAGGCGGAUCA